rnacentral:lncRNA from 10 species
GUGAAUACUCUCUGUGGGCCUACUAUGUGCCAGGCAUUAUGCACCAGACGAAAACAUAUCUUCUUGAGAAGCCAGUGCUAAGUCACUGUUCUUGUUCAUAUUUGGAUCCCUUCCCUUUUCAGGUUGGUUCAUUAACGGAAAUAUUAACAGCAACUUAUAUGUACUUCUCCACUUGUUGCUCCAAGAGAUUUACAGGCUCUUUUUCUGUCUUCAGAUACUACUUUGAAAACAAGAUGAAAGCCAUGGAAUCUCCCGAGAAAAAUGUACAUCUUACAGACUUUCAGUGAGUUCUGGAAUACCAGGAACCAGAGCCCACACUAAUGAACAGCAGUUUCCUAACCUAAUGCGAGAGAUUUGAGAUUUCUUCUGGCUCCCAUGAUCUUCUAAUUGUCUUCUUAGCAAGACUAAACACAUCUCCAAGAAAUGUGCACUGCCAUGAAUGUCUUCCAGCUAUCUUCUAUGACAGCACUUCCCAGUGUGUUCUGUGGAAUAAUGGUACAGGGUGAUAUUCUAUGAAGAAAAAUACGGAAAGUAAUAUACUCCACAGUCCGUAUAUUAGAUCGGACUAAUAAAAAUAAAUAUGGAAAGUAAUAUAUUCCACAGUCAUAUAUUAGAUCGCCUACACAACAGCAAUUUGAUAUAGUUUAAUAGGAUUUGAAUGAAUAAAAUUAAUGCCCACAGCUACUUUCUUCUGCCGGUAAAUAUUUUUCUGCCCAUAAUCUUGCUAAACAGAAUUCAUCUGAACUUACGUUGUUGCCAACAAAUAUACGAACAAUU